GAUGAACGCUGGCGGCGUGCCUAAUACAUGCAAGUCGAGCGAACAGAUGCGGAGCUUGCUCCUCUCACGUUAGCGGCGGGCGGGUGUGUAACGCGUGGAUCCCCUCCCUAUCUGUCUGGUAUCACUACGGGAAACCGGAGCUUAUACCGGAUAAUCUCUUGAACCGCAUGGUUCAAUGGUGAAAGACGGUUUUGCGGUCACUUCUAGAUGGAUCUGGGCCGCAUUAGCUAGUUGGUAAGUUAACGGCUUAUCACGGCGACGAUGCGUAGCCGACGUGCGAGGGGGAUAGCCCACACUGGAACUGGACCGGGGUCCAGACGCCUACGGGAGGCACCAGAAGGCAAUCGUCGGCAAUGGUCGGAAGCCUUACGCAGCGGGGGCGCGUGAGAGAUGAAGAUCCUCGGUUCGUAAAACUCUGUUAUUAGGUAAAAACAACUGAGGAAGGUGAUAUGCACGUAUUGACGGUACCUAAUCAGAAAGCAACGGCUAACUACGUG
rnacentral:rRNA from 1 species